AGCACUGUAGCAUAGUGGUAAGGAGCAGGGCUCGUAACCGGGAGGUUGCUGGCUCAAUUCCCUGCUGGGGCAC